AUGCACGCUGGCGGCGUGCCUAAUACAUGCAAGUCGAGCGAACAGACGAGGAGCUUGCUCCUCUGACGUUAGCGGCGGACGGGUGAGUAACACGUGGAUAACCUACCUAUAAGACUGGGAUAACUUCGGGAAACCGGAGCUAAUACCGGAUAAUAUAUUGAACCGCAUGGUUCAAUAGUGAAAGACGGUUUUGCUGUCACUUAUAGAUGGAUCCGCGCCGCAUUAGCUAGUUGGUAAGGUAACGGCUUACCAAGGCAACGAUGCGUAGCCGACCUGAGAGGGUGAUCGGCCACACUGGAACUGAGACACGGUCCAGACUCCUACGGGAGGCAGCAGUAGGGAAUCUUCCGCAAUGGGCGAAAGCCUGACGGAGCAACGCCGCGUGAGUGAUGAAGGUCUCCGGAUCGUAAAACUCUGUUAUUAGGGAAGAACAAAUGUGUAAGUAACUAUGCACGUCUUGACGGUACCUAAUCAGAAAGCCACGGCUAACUACGUG
rnacentral:rRNA from 1 species